UGCCCUCUCCCCCACAUUCCAUUCACACAAAAAAAGUUUGAAACUAUGAAGCAGAUUAUUGUUGCUCGAAGGGAAAAAAUUCACUUGUGGGAACGGGAAAAACUUCACAUCGGGGUACUCCACAAAAAGCCUAACAAGAAGAGGAAACGGCGAUCAAGUACGGAGGAGAAUGCAAAUAAUAAUAAUAAUAAUGAGUGCGAGCUACCUGCUGAUGUUAUAAGCUCUAUUUUUAUACGUUAAGGUGCGCAUCAAAGUCGUGGAAUGACUUUAUUACUAGUCCUCUCUUUGUUCAUUCUCACCUGGAAGUCUGGAACAAUCAACGGAAAAUGCCCAACUUCUUUUUCUGAAACCCAAUUACUCAGAAGUGCAACGGUUAAAUAGGUGCAGACUACAAUUUGUUUCAGUAGACAUGGAAGGAAAGGGAGAAACCAAUGAGGUAUACGCUGUCACUUUACCCCGUUUCCCGUAUCCCCAAUCUGGUUUCCAUGUGUCCGCUGGUUUAGUUUGCAUUUCAUUGCCUGAUUGCAUUUAUUUGUGCAAUCCUCUUAUGCAACAAUUAUGUAAAUUGCCAAAAUGUUCACCUUGUGUUUUAAGUGGAUGGACAAAUGUUGGGUUUGGAUUUCUUCACUCAACGAAGGAAUUCAAAGUGGUGCAUUUUUUCUAUACGAGUCUCGGAAAUCAUCCUUUUCCGUUUUAUACACAUUUACAAGUAAGAUGCGAGGUGUUUACGUUUUCCCUAAUAAAUGGGGUUGGUGGCAUUUCAAAUAUAUGGAAAGAAAUUGUUGAGAUGCCUCCAUGUUAUCCGUCCGGUCCAGGGCUGCUAGUGAAUGAAUGCUAUUACUGGUGGGCUAGACGAUUUGCUUCAGGCGCGCAUUUGAGUUUGAAAAUGACAAGUUCCUAAAUUCCCAAACUGAGUAUGAUGGAUUUGAAAGGAAUGCUUUGCUUGCCAGACGUGGCUCACUACCGCAAGAGUUCAAUUCUAGACCUGUGGAUACUUAAGGAUAAAGUAAGUUGCAUAUGGGCGAAGGAGUAUAGCAUCAAUUUGGUCAACUUUAGGCCCAGCUGGCAUACUAUUCCUAUCUUCAGGACGUGGAAAAGAAAUAAUAUUUAUACAUUUGGAUAAGGCCAUCUUCUAUGACCUAAAAAGAAAAUGUUUUAGAGCAGUGAAAAUCGGUUUUGGAAUUUGCCAAGACAACUCCGUGCUUUUUGCAUUGGGUUUUGGAAUUUACCGGAAAAGCUUGUUUUCAUUAGGAAGCACUUAGAUCCUUCCUAGUUAUAUCCCUUUAAGGAUAUUGCUCCGUAUCUUAUUGUGUAUGAAGCAUCAUCCGUAUUUUUCUCUUCUUUAGAAGAGAAAGAGUUUCGACAUGCUUGCUUAUGGGUAAUUUAAGUUUUGUUUGAGGGCAUAUUAGACUUUUGAGCUUAUCUGUAUACGUGGCUUUUCUAUAUCUACCCAACUACUACGUGUAGCGUUUACCUUAUUACAGAGGUGGGUUUUAUUCGAUUUGUGUACAUCACAAUUUACAGAGCUUCAGAUAUCUUCGUCUUCCUCAUCUC